AUAGCCACCGGAGUUCCCCCAAACACUUCAGUGAGUUGUUACUGAUGAUUACUCAAUGAAAUGGUCGAGGGAACUCUAGUGUAAAC
rnacentral:pre_miRNA from 1 species